AGUCUUAUAUUCAAAAUAAUGAUUCUAAAUUGCAAAUUUAGAGGUAGAGUAAUUACUUAAGGCUU
rnacentral:tRNA from 1 species